AUGGCCUCCGGUGCCGCGGACGCCGACCUCUACGCCGUCCUGGGGCUCAAGAAGGAGUGCUCCGACGCCGACCUCAGGCUCGCCUACCGGAGGCUCGCCAUGACAUGGCAUCCGGACCGGUGCUCGGCGUCCGGCAGCUCGGCGCGCGUGGAGGAGGCCAAGGAGCGUUUCCAGGAGAUCCAGAGCGCCUACUCCGUGCUCUCCGACUCCGGCAAGCGGCUCCUCUACGACGUCGGCGUCUACGACAGCGACGGCGACGGCCGCAGCGAGCAAGAUGUGUCGGGGAUGGGCGACUUCUUCGGGGAGAUGGCCGAGAUGAUGAGCCAGGCCACGCCAACCGACAGCUUCGAGGAGCUGCAGCAGCUGUUCGUGGACAUGUUCCAGGCCGACCUCGUCGCCGGCGGGUUCGGCGGUGCGCCACCUAUGGGCCGCCGGGUCAAGACCCCGGCCCCGAUUGCAUCCUGUACCUCUGGACCUACGUUUGCGCAAGCACGGCCGUCAAGUAACAACGGUGUCAACAAGCGGUGUUCACCGGCGAUGGGCUCCGGGAUGCCCUCAUGGACGGUGCAGGAGGACGUGAGCAUCGGCGGCAGGAAUAAGAAACAGAGGCUGUCGACGGGCCACGGCGUGUCGUCCUAG
rnacentral:rRNA from 1 species